rnacentral:rRNA from 1 species
UAGCAAUACAAGGCAGACGGCUCAGUAACGCGUAGUCAAUCUACCCUAUGGACGGGAAUAACCUCGGGAAACUGAGAAUAAUGCCCGAUAGAACAUUAUGCCUGGAAUGGUUUAUGUUUCAAAUGAUUUAUCGCCAUAGGAUGGGACUGCGGCCUAUCAGUUUGUUGGUGAGGUAAUGGCCCACCAAGACUAUUACAGGUACGGGCUCUGAGAGGAGUAGCCCGGUGAUGGGUACUGAGACACGGACCCAGGCCCUAUGGGGCGCAGCAGGCGAGAAAACUUUGCAAUGUGCGAAAGCACGACAAGGUUAAUCCGAGUGGUUUCUGCUAAAGAAACCUUUUGUCAGUCCUAGAAACACUGAUGAAUAAGGGGUGGGCAAGUUCUGGUGUCAGCCGCCGCGGUAAAACCAGCACCUCAAGUGGUCAGGAUGAUUAUUGGGCCUAAAGCAUCCGUAGCUCGUUUUGUAAGUUUUCGGUUAAAUCCAUGCGCUUAACGUAUGGGCUGCCGGGAAUACUGCAUAACUAGGAAGUGGGAGAGGUAGACGGUACUCGGUAGGAAGGGGUAAAAUCCUUUGAUCUAUUGAUGACCACCUGUGGCGAAGGCGGUCUACCAGAACACGUUCGACGGUGAGGGAUGAAAGCUGGGGGAGCAAACCGGAUUAGAUACCCGGGUAGUCCCAGCUGUAAACUAUGCAAACUCAGUGAUGCAUUGGCUUGUGGCCAAUGCAGUGCUGCAGGGAAGCCGUUAAG